rnacentral:piRNA from 1 species
UUCGCUCUACUCAGACCUUCAACAGAU